ACCUGCCUGGGAAGCUCUUGCGGAGGGCCAGCCACAGCCCCUGCCUGCACCGGGAAUCAGAGCUUUCCCAGGCCCGCUUGAACCCCAGCAACUGGAGGAGCCACAGGAAGCGACCGGCCCAACUGACCACGGAGAAUCCUCAGGCUCAUGGGAGACCCCAAUGCAGAUACUGCUAUUGCACUGCCCCAUUGGCUAGGAGGAACAGAGAUGUUUUGGGAAAGCAAGAGAGUCUCCUGCUUUCUUGUUGCAACCUGAGACCUUCAGAAAAUACUUCUGCCACUGAAGUUAAGAGACUGUGUGUUAGCUCAACAACAGCAGGCAGCUUUCCUCUGUGGCUUACCUACUGGAUGAGAGAGAACACGUAAUGUACACUAAAGAGCAGGAGACAGGCUCUCCAUCCUUUGAGACCAGAAGAGAAAGGUACCUUUUAAGGGAUGGAAGGUUGAUCCUCCCAAUUUGACUUGGAAAUAGCUUCAGAGCAGACUUCAGAAAGGUAAAGCUAUCCUGUGACACUUCUGAUCAACACAAAUCCUGAUGCCCCAGGGACAUGGCAUUCAGAGAUGUAAUAUACAAAACAUGGAACUUGGGAGUUGCAGAGAAAUCUGGAGACUGGUACGGAUCCACAGCUGCCAGUGUCAGAUUUUGUUGAA